rnacentral:rRNA from 1 species
GACGAAUGCUGGCGGCGCGCUUAACACAUGCAAGUCGAACGAUGAACCCGGAGCUUGCUCCGGUGGAUUAGUGGCGAACGGGUGAGUAACACGUGAGUAACCUGCCCUUGACUCUGGGAUAACUGCGGGAAACUGUAGCUAAUACCGGAUACGACCCUCGGCGGCAUCGCCAGGGGGUGGAAAGAAUUUCGGUCAAGGAUGGACUCGCGGCCUAUCAGCUAGUUGGGGAGGUAACGGCUCACCAAGGCGACGACGGGUAGCCGGCCUGAGAGGGUGACCGGCCACACUGGGACUGAGACACGGCCCAGACUCCUACGGGAGGCAGCAGCGGGGAAUAUUGCACAAUGGGCGCAAGCCUGAUGCAGCAACGCCGCGUGAGGGAUGACGGCCUUCGGGUUGUAAACCUCUUUUAGCAGGGAAGAAGCGAAAGUGACGGUACCUGCAGAAAAAGCACCGGCUAACUACGUGCCAGCAGCCGCAGUAA